ensembl:lncRNA
UAUCACUUUAAUAAUUUAUUUCAAUUGAAAGGAAAACUGACACAGUUGGGGUAUUUGAUGGGGAAAUGCCUCCCUCUGACUCCAGUGACAGGCUGAGUUUGGGGUUAAGAAUUGGAUCUGGGAGUGGGAAGAGGCUCUGUGGAUACAGGAAGGAGAUGAAGAUAAGGUUUGGGCUGAGCUGUGCAUUCUAGAUGCCUCCAUCUGACCCUCACUCCAGCCACCUGAUUAAUCCGUGGUAAAGACAGGACCAGAAUGAGCUCGCUCUUCUCUUGAAAUGGCUCCAAUGGUCCACACAGAGGGGGGAGCAUGUGGUAUUGGAAGGUCAGCUCUGGGCCACACUGCUGGGCUCCAACUCCAGCUCCCUCAUCAGGGACCCUGUGGCCUUGAGCACUUAUGUCACUUCUCUGUGCAUCUGCUUCCUACUCUGUAAAGUGGGGUGAUGAUAGCAUCGCGGCAUGGGAGUAAGUCAGGGAUCUGGAGUUAAUUGCUGUAGUGGGCUUAGAGCACUGCCUGGCCCCAGGAAGCACCCACACAGGGCGGCAGGUUGUGUAAAGGAAUUAAGCAUGCACAGAGCAUCCUGGCAGCAGGGCAGACACAUGCCAGUCAGAGGUGACCUGGGAGCCAUCCCUGGACAUGGAGAUAUGGGGCUCUGUCCUCUGUGCAAAGAGAUCCCAUUCGAAAUGUCUUCGGGCACAGUGGGAGAGUGAAGGGAGCGCAGCCAGGACGGGAUGGCCAGAGGGCCUCUUAGCCACUGGGCCUGGUGGGGCCAGUGCCCAGGCCACAAACUUAUGGGGCCCGUGAAAAUAGUUUCCUGAGCUGGUCAGAGGAAUCCCCUGGGCACUCAGCUAAAGGGGAGGGUUUUACUGAGCACGUACCCAGAUCCCAGCACAGAUGCAGACAGACGACAGACACACUGAGACACUCCCACAUUCAGACACAACCCUGCUCUCCUCCCUGCAGCCCAGAAGGGGCAUGAGGACAUUGGAGGGGCUGAUAUGCUGACAAGCUCCCCUGGGGACAAGGAGAGGGGACCAGCACCCCUUCCCCCAGCACCUCUCUGCUCCACACAGACAAGGACAGAGGCCCAGCUCUGAGGCCCCUGACAGGGCCAUGGUCACACAGAGAACCGGACACACCCACCACCUGGACCUGGGGCUGAGAGGCUCAGAGGAGGUGACAGGACUGAAGGAUCGGGUCACCAAGCUCCACAGACUCAGAGGGUCCUGCAGGUUCCCCGGCCCCUCCCACCAGCCUGCUCCUGCACUGCUCACUCCUCGGAGGGUCUUCAGUGGACAGGGAGCCAGAGUCGUGGAAACAAAAUGCAACUUCUGUUAACCUGUUGGUUGUGAUAUGAUUUCUUAUAAUACUCAUAUGUUUGAAAGACCUAAUUCUAAGAAAACGGGAGGCAUUGCAAACAUAACAGUCAGCAGGUAGUCCUCAGAACCGAGCUUGUUCUUGCUGAUUCUGCUCUAGCUCGUGCUCAACUGAGCUGCAGGUAUCAGGUGGUCAGACUCUCAGAGGGACCAUCAGGGAGGGGACUCCUGAAGGCUGGACCCAUGCAACUCCUGCCCGAGCCAGUAGCCCCGGCCACGCUGCCUGGGGAGGGGAGGUGACUCAGGCCUGGCUGUGGGAUCUCCUCUCCCUACCGCCUGACCGUCCAUCUUAGCCUCUCACUUGGGACAGAAAAUGACGAACAGAGAACAAGACCCCAGAGAACCAACAGUCAACAGGAUCACCAAAGCCUUUCACUUCUCCUUUUGCCAG